AAGAGAGAAUCGACCCACGGAAAUGGUUGCUGUGUGAAGCCUGGGUACCUGAAAUGAGAGUCGCUCGGCCUGGAAGUCCCCUGUGGGGGUAAACAUCUCAGAGAGGAGAAGGAAGUAUGAUCAGCCAUCUCAGCUGUGUAACCACGUGGCUUCAGAGAAGGGAGCUUCGAGCCAACAGUCUUUUGCAGCCUGGAAAACGUUUUCUGAUUAGAAGCCCCUGCUGUUUUAUCUAUUACACGUGAAACUGAAUAAGUCUCCACACGUCCACUGGGAGUUGAUGACUGGGAUUUUGAUGAGUGGCAAAGGAGAGCUUUUCAGACAGCAGGAACCCCAAGUGCAGAGGCCAAGAGGCAUCAACAGUGUGGGGCAUCCAGGAGGUGUGUCCUGGGUGAAGCCAAGACCGUCCAUUUUCUUUGUAAAUCAUGUGGGUAGGAUCUGUGGAAGUUGCCAUUCACACCUGCAUCCAUCUUUGUCCGGAAGAAGAUGCAUUCCUCCUUCGGAAGUGGACCCUACAAGACAAACUUGGAGCCCGACCCAGUGACCCACAUGUGAAAGGGCCACAGCUCCGCUAGCAGGAGGGAGAAGUGAGAGACUGUUGGCAGAAGCUAAAUCUUAUGCUAAAAAUUUACCGGCCCACAAAUUUUUGUUAACCAGCCUGCUACGAAUACGAUACAGAUGGCCAAAUAAAUAAAACCCAUCGGUAGUUAUGACAAGCCUCCCUGAAAUGGUAAGUGGC